GAAACGACUGCUAAGACUGGAUAGGAAGAUAAAAGGCAUCUUGUAUCUUUUAAAAGACCUAGUUAAUAGGUAUGCUUUAGGAGGGGCUUGCGCCAUAUUAGUUAGUUGGUAGGGUAAUGGCCUACCAAGACGAUGAUGUGUAGCUGGACUGAGAGGUUGAACAGCCACAUUGGGACUGAGACACGGCCCAAACUCCUACGGGAGGCAGCAGUAGGGAAUUUUCGGCAAUGGAGGAAACUCUGACCGAGCAACGCCGCGUGAAUGACGAAGUACUUCGGUAUGUAAAGUUCUUUUAUCGAGGAAGAAAAGCAAAUGGCGAACCAUUUGUUUGCCGGUACUUGAUGAAUAAGCCCCGGCUAAUUAUGUGCCAGCAGCCGCGGUAAGACAUAAGGGGCAAGUGUUAUCCGGAAUUAUUGGGCGUAAAGGGUGCGUAGGCGGUCUAGUAAGUCAGUGGUGUAAUGGCAACGCUUAACGUUGUCCGGCUAUUGAAACUGCUAAACUUGAGUUAGAUAGAGGCGAGUGGAAUUCCAUGUGUAGCGGUAAAAUGCGUAAAUAUAUGGAGGAACACCAGAGGCGUAGGCGGCUCGCUGGGUCUUAACUGACGCUGAGGCACGAAAGCGUGGGGAGCAAACAGGAUUAGAUACCCUGGUAGUCCACGCCGUAAACGAUGAGUACUAAGUGUCGGGUUAAACCGGUACUGAAGUUAACACAUUAAGUACUCCGCCUGAGUAGUACGUACGCAAGUAUGAAACUUAAAGGAAUUGACGGGACUCCGCACAAGCGGUGGAUCAUGUUGUUUAAUUCGAAGAUACCCGAAAAACCUUACCAGGUCUUGACAUGUUUUUGCAAAAUGAUAGUAAUAUCGUGGAGGUUACCAGAAACACAGGUGGUGCAUGGUUGUCGUCAGCUCGUGUCGUGAGAUGUUAGGUUAAGUCCUAAAACGAGCGAAACCCUUAUCGUUAGUUGCCAGCACGUUAUGGUGGGGACUUUAACGAGACUGCCAAUGAUAAAUUGGAGGAAGGUGAGGAUCACGUCAAAUCAGCAUGCCCCUUAUGACCUGGGCUACAAACGUGAUACAAUGGCUGUUACAAAGGGUAGCUGAAACGCAAGUUCUUGGCCAAUCCCCAAAAACAGUCCCAGUCCGGAUUGAAGUCUGCAACUCGACUUCAUGAAGUUGGAAUCGCUAGUAAUCGCGAAUCAGCAUGUCGCGGUGAAUACGUUCUCGGGGUUUGUACACACCGCCCG
rnacentral:rRNA from 1 species